rnacentral:rRNA from 1 species
GCAGAAUUCCGCGAAUCAUCGAGUUUUUGAACGCAACUUGCGCCCGAGGCUUGACCGAGGGCAUCUCUGCCAGAGCGUCACC